CCCUUAGAUGUUCUGGGCCGCACGCGCGCUACACUGAUGCAUUCAACGAGUCUAAAACCUGCUCUGAUAGGGGUGGGUAAUCUUUUGAAUGUGCAUCGUGAUUGGGAUAGAUGAUUGCAAUUUUUCAUCUUCAACGAGGAAUGCCUAGUAAACGCAAGUCAUCGGCUUGCAUUGAUUACGUCCCUGCCCUUUGUACACACCGCCCGUCGCUCCUACCGAUUGAAUGAUCCGAUGAAUAUCAUGGAUUGAGGAUGCAAGUAGGUUCGCCUAUCUUCAUCUUCGAGAAGUGAAGUAAAUCUUAUCAUUUAGAGGAAGGAGAAGUCGUAACA
rnacentral:rRNA from 1 species